UACGUAGGGGGCAAGCGUUGUCCGGAUUUAUUGGGCGUAAAGAGCGUGUAGGCGGCUAGGUAGGUCCGUUGUGAAAACUCGAGGCUCAACCUCGAGACGCCGAUGGAAACCAUCUGGCUAGAGUUCGGUAGGGGAGACUGGAAUUCCUGGUGUAGCGGUGAAAUGCGCAGAUAUCAGGAGGAACACCAAUAGCGAAGGCAGCUCGCUGGGACGGUACUGACGCUGAGACGCGAAAGCGUGGGGAGCAAACAGG
rnacentral:rRNA from 1 species